ACGAACGCUGGCGGCGUGCUUAACCCAUGCCAGUCGAACGGAAAGGCCCUGCUUUUGUGGGGUGCUCGAGUGGCGAACGGGUGAGUAACACGUGAGUAACCUGCCCUUGACUUUGGGAUAACUUCAGGAAACUGGGGCUAAUACCGGAUAGGAGCUCCUGCUGCCUGGUGGGGGUUGGAAAGUUUCGGCGGUUGGGGAUGGACUCGCGGCUUAUCAGCUUGUUGGUGGGGUAGUGGCUUACCAAGGCUUUGACGGGUAGCCGGCCUGAGAGGGUGACCGGCCACAUUGGGACUGAGAUACGGCCCAGACUCCUACGGGAGGCAGCAGUGGGGAAUAUUGCACAAUGGGCGGAAGCCUGAUGCAGCAACGCCGCGUGCGGGAUGACGGCCUUCGGGUUGUAAACCGCUUUCGCCUGUGACGAAGCGUGAGUGACGGUAAUGGGUAAAGAAGCACCGGCUAACUACGUG
rnacentral:rRNA from 1 species